rnacentral:piRNA from 1 species
UGAGAGCUCUGUUAAAUAAUCCCACGG